rnacentral:rRNA from 1 species
UACGGAAGGCAGCAGUGGGGAAUAUUGCACAAUGGGCGCAAGCCUGAUGCAGCCAUGCCGCGUGUAUGAAAAAGGCCUUCGGGUUGUAAAGUACUUUCAGUCGUGAGGAAGGUGUUAAGGUUAAUAACCUUAGCAAUUGACGUUAGCGACAGAAGAAGCACCGGCUAACUCCGUGCCAGCAGCCGCGGUAAUACGGAGGGUGCGAGCGUUAAUCGGAAUUACUGGGCGUAAAGGGCACGCAGGCGGUUAAUUAAGUUGGAUGUGAAAUCCCCGGGCUUAACCUGGGAAUGGCAUUCAAGACUGGUUAGCUAGAGUCUUGUAGAGGGGGUAGAAUUCCAUGUGUAGCGGUGAAAUGCGUAGAGAUGUGGAGGAUACCGGUGGCGAAGGCGGCCCCUGGACAAAGACUGACGCUCAUGUGCGAAAGCUGGGGAGCAAAC